rnacentral:rRNA from 1 species
UACGAAGGGGGCUAGCGUUGCUCGGAAUUACUGGGCGUAAAGGGAGCGUAGGCGGACAUUUAAGUCAGGGGUGAAAUCCCGGGGCUCAACCUCGGAAUUGCCUUUGAUACUGGGUAUCUUGAGUUCGAGAGAGGUGAGUGGAAUUCCGAGUGUAGAGGUGAAAUUCGUAGAUAUUCGGAGGAACACCAGUGGCGAAGGCGGCUCACUGGCUCGAUACUGACGCUGAGGUGCGAAAGCGUGGGGAGCAAACAGG